ensembl:lncRNA
UUUUUAAUGGUCCUGUCCGAUUCUCUGCUUUAAGCCUGUAUCUAGACAGAAGCCUUGAAUGUGUUUGAGUACAGAUAAGCUGCACAACAGGCUGAGGAGUGAAGGCAUCUUCUCUUUCAUGAAAUAAACAGGUGAGAAUCUCGACACCAGGGCCUCAGUGCCUUCGCUUGCAGAGCUCAGCUCCUCUGAAUUCCCGCUGAGAUCCAAGACCUUCAGAGCGGGAUGUGUGGUCAACAGUUAUAGGUCAGGAGACUCAGAUUGUCCUUGUGUGGUGAAAACAAAGGAUUUAGUGCUUGUAACCUUUCACAGCUUCAGGUAGAAACCUGAGUCUACCUUGUAUGGCAGAUUGUUAGAUGUACACUAAAAGUCUCCUUGCAAGUCUUAUUGUGGGAUCUGAAGAUGAAAACCAUUCUCAAGCAUAAUGGGGUUAUGUAGAUUAGCUCAUUUUGUAAUAAUUAUGGAAGUUAGUUGUUCCAACUGGUAACGUUUAGAACUCAUCUGAAGGCUGUUUGAUAAUCAAACACGGUGAUAAUUUGUUGGAGAUUAAGGGAAGGAGGAGGCACACCAAAAACACCCCAUCAUUACAGCACAUCUGGUCUCCGUUCUCUUCAAAAACCAUGUCACAGCUGACUCAGGCCCUCAAAUCUGGAAGAAAGUGCAGGGGAAUUUCCACUAAUGAAUCCAACAACCACACGAUGAGGCCUCUUUGUGCAGGGACUUCAAUGGAAGCCACAUUCAGAGCAGGCACAGCGAGUCACAAUCAAAGGCACCGCCAAUCCGUUACCACGGGAGCAAAUCUGCAGCUUGUAACUGAACAGACAUCUGUUUCCAUGACAGCUGUCUGGAACGGCAUCAGCCUAACUAACUGCUGCCUCAGAACUAGUCUGACUGUUUGAUAUCUCUUGUGAUAAAGACAGAGACGAUUCUGUCAGAAACCCUCGUCACUUGUUGUUGUGAUGCGCUAAUGCGAAAAGAGAAGUUUGCAUUUGUGUUUAUUUUGUUGGUCUUUGAAGCUGCCGCAAUCAGAGGCUGCAAAAUAUUGGAAGGGAGAAGAAACGUACCCGAGAGAAGUAAACAUACGGAGCGAACUACCCCGGUGUGUUCGACGGAAGCCGCUUCAGAGCGACAAAAGGGAAGUACAAGUUAAACAACAACAUUUCUGACAUAAUGUUUAUUACAGCAAAAUUCAUUUCCACCCUCCCCUCCUUUUCUUAAACAAUCAAACAUCUGUUUUCACAGUGAGAAACUUACAGUGAAGUGAAUGGGGCCAUGUUGAGUCAGUGUAAUUUUUCAUUACAAUGUCAUAAGUGAAUAAUCUUAAAGUAAAAUGGCAGAUUUCUUUCUUGUGACCAGGGGCGUCGGACUGGGGGUAAAACCAGUACUGCUUGUGACACUAGACUUUACCAACUAUUUUGCCUAAUAUGUAAAAUUAAGUCCCGUCCCAUUUUUUUUUUUUCUUUUCAAUAAUCUAUUUCACUUGGCUAUACAUCACAAUAUGUUUUAAAUGAUCUGUCGCUACUUCCGUUACAAAAUAAAUAAAAAAAUUGGUUCCAUUUGCUUCCAUUUCAACUGCCACAAAUGCUAUACUAAUAAAACUUAACUUCACUAAACUUAAAAUAUUCCUUUUAUUAUGCCAAUAUCUCUGUAGUUCUACAUUGUUUAGACGCCUGCCUGGUGGUCUGCUGUUUGAAAGGGCAAGGCCUGCCCGCAGAGAGGGGCUUGACAAGACAGUACACCUGCUUAGGAGCUCUCCGAAACGCUCACUACACCGAGAUAUCUCCAUAGCUAAGCACUGCAUUGUCUUAUAUGCACAUCGAAAACCAAAGUCCUUGACCCAAAUAGUGCAGAUGGCCGUGCACUGAACUGCCACUUAAAUUCAGUGAGCUCAGGAGAGUCUGCUGUGUCGCCUGGCCUUCAGGCUGCCUCAGACUGUGUGCGUAUGAGACUGACUCAUCAAGCUACCAGAGAACUCAAUUUAAUACCACAGCAGGAGAUCCAUUCUCUUAAAGCUGAAGUUCCCCUUCACGUGCUCACUGAUGAGGCGGCCGUGGCUCCUCCUCACAUGUAACCAAAGUGAGCCAGUCGUGCUGGAUUUUUAAUGAUACAUUUGUCAAGCAGCUACUGAG